AGGUCAACAAACAAGAGUUUUUGAAGAAACAUCCACUGCAUCAAAAAAGCAUUCAUGAUUUCAAAUUUACAAGAAGAAAAAAUAAUAAGAAAAGAAAAAGGAAGACAUCUGUCUUACAGUACUCUGAACCUACAAUCAAACAGUUAAUUUACAAGAAGAAAAUGGACAAACUGUCUCCUGUAAAUCAACUGAAUAUAGCUUCAGAGAAGGUGACAGGCUGGGGAUACAAGGAGCAAGUUUACAUUCCAUGUUUUCUUGGCUUUCAACCUGAAACAUGUGCAGCUCUAGUGAUAAACUUCUUAGUCAAAUUAUUACUAGACCAAGAAAAUCACCAAAUGCACCAAUCCCUUUCGCCAUCCUAUUUUGCAACAUCAAGAAGUUAUUUUCCAGACGAUCAGCAGUCAGCCUUACAGCUAAAUCAAAAAUUUCCUAUGCUGCAAACUGUCUACUCUUCCAUUUCUUAUUCUUAUCAGACCACUGAUUCCCGCGGACAUUUCUCUUCCAUGUCCUCAGUCUCUCCAGCUUCUUCUCUUUUAAUGUCCCAAAUUCCUUAUCAUUCACAACAUCCUCCUUCUUCAUCUCCAGUAUCUCCAAAUGCUUUUCCAACUCAUCAUUAUUCUCCUGAAUUUAAUCCUGAACAGCCUACAAAAAACUUCUGUUGCUUCACAUCUCCAGUAUAAUUCUCAUAUUUCUUCAUUCGUUCAGUUUGCAUUCUGGGUA